rnacentral:rRNA from 1 species
AUGACUGAGUGGCGAACGGGUGAGUAACACGUGGGCAACCUGCCCCAGACUCUGGGAUAACCUCGGGAAACCGAAGCUAAUACCGGAUACGACCACUUCAGACAUCUGAUGGUGGUGGAAAGUUUUUCGGUCUGGGUUGGGCCCGCGGCCUAUCAGCUAGUUGGUGGGGUAAUGGCCUACCAAGGCGACGACGGGUAGCCGGCCUGAGAGGGCGACCGGCCACACUGGAACUGAGACACGGUCCAGACUCC